GUUCCCUGGUCCAGGCAGCGCUGACUCAGCCGCCCUCGGUGUCAGCGAACCCGGGACAAACCGUCCAGAUCACCUGCUCUGGGGUGUACAGCAGCAGCAGCUAUGAAGUGGGCUGGUACCAGCAGAAGGUACCUGGCACUGCCCCUGUCACUGUGAUCUACUGGAAUGACAAGAGACCCUCGGGCAUCCCUUCGUGAUUCUCUGGCUCCAAGUCCGGCUCCACGGGCACGUUAACCAUCAGUGGGGUCCAAGCCGAGGACGAGGCCGUCUAUUACUGUGGUGGCUACGGCAGCAGCUAUAUUGAUACCACACUGACAUGGAGCAACGGGAAAGUGAUAAAAAGUACUCUUGCCAUCACAGACAUGUAG